AGCCCCAAGCCACCCUUGCACAUUGCAGCCAGCCUGUUUAUCCUGCCCUCCGCUCGGCUCGCGUGACCCCUGCAGGGGAAGGGGAUGGAAGGACACACCUCCGGAUAUUUGCCAGGGGGCCACCCCUUCCCUCUGGGCACCUCAUGGAGGGCGGGACAAACAGAGGAACUGGCCGUGUUUAUAAUGAUCAGGCCCCGGCUCCACCCUGGGACAGCUCCCAGCUCUGGCGGCUCCCUUGCCCGGCUCCCCGCCCCCACCGAGUCCCCAGGCCCCUGAGCAGCCCGGCUGCUGUGCCCUGUGCCGCCUUGGCUCCUGUCCCUGCCAACCAACCCACCUCGGGAGCUCACUGUGUGUCUGGGGGCCGGCCGCUCGGCCACUCUGUGCCUCGGUUUCCCCCUCUGUUAAAGACAAUAAUGCCAGUGCCUGCUUCCUGGAGUUCCUACAGGAGUCACAAGUGAGAACACGAGGCCCUGACCGCCUGGCCCGAAAGCAGCUGUGGGCAGCACUGACCUGAGCACCCACUGUGUGCCGGCCCCUCCUCUAAGCACCCUGCCCGGAGUCCCUCAUGUAAUCUGCACACGUGACCCACGAGGAAGCAGCCACUACGCGUUAACAGACAAGCCUUCGGCAGGACAAUCUGACGCAGAAAAGAUGUCCACAAACCAGUCCCUGCCACCAAAUGUGCCACACCGAGGCUCAGCUCUGGGACUUCCAUCACUACCACCACCACGAGGGUCCCGUGACCCUGUGCAGAUGCGGACGCGGAGCUCACGGACCCCCCAUGACCUCGGUGGGGCAGCUAUUCUCAUUCCCACUUCGCAGAUGUGGAAACUGAGGAUCACAAAGGUGAAAUCUCUUGCUCAGGUUACCAAGCAGAGCUGGGCCUAAAAGACAGGGGCAUCUACUACAGAGUCGACCUCCUUAAGCCUUCUGCUGGCCCCCAAGCCUCCUCCGUGUGGCCCCAUGGCCUGUACGAUUGGUCUGUCACCUCUGCCCCCUUGUUCACUCUGCCCCAGCCACAUGGGCCUCCUUGCUGUUCUUCAAACCCUAGACGUGUCCCCACCUCAGGGCCUUUGCACUGGCUGUCACCUCACCUGCUGGAACUUCAUUCUCCCUGAUCUGCACAUGGCUCCCUCCCUCCUCCCCACUACCCGGAGUCUGUGCUCAAAUAUCCCUGCUCCUGUCCCGGCUCCCUCUAUGCCUUUUUCUUUGCACCUGUCUUCUGUCUUGCUCCCCAGUGUACCCCGUCUACAACAUGGCCCCAGCCCACACUAGGCGCUCAAGGAACCUGUGGUGAAUGAACUGAUUCAUCUGUACCCACUACGCUACAGCCCUGCUUGGACACCUCUGACUCUGCCCGGGCGGUCCCUGGGGCACUCUGGCGGAGAUGUGCCUGGGACCCAGGGGCGGCGGGUGAAGCAGCAACGUCAGACAGAGGGAAUAGAGGAGGACAGCGUGCAGAUGCCUCUGAAGUCUAGGGUCUGAUCCCAAGAACGCAGGCCCAUUUUGCAUUCUACUCUCGUACGGUCAUUGCAAUUAAAGAAAGUCUUUUGAAUUAUUCAGCA